GUCACAUCCAUGAAUAAGGAAGGUCUCUGUUUAUCCGAAGAAGAGGUAUAGCAUGGGCAGCAACAGUGUAAGCUUUCCCCUCAUUGCCCCACCCUGAUCGGGACUAACCAGCGACAAGGAUGUGAAGGCCAUUCAGUCUAUGCCGGGGAUAGUCAAUUAUUUUUUGUU
rnacentral:sRNA from 1 species